GAUGAACGCUGGCGGCGUGCCUAAUACAUGCAAGUCGAGCGAACAGACGAGGAGCUUGCUCCUCUGACGUUAGCGGCGGACGGGUGAGUAACACGUGGAUAACCUACCUAUAAGACUGGGAUAACUUCGGGAAACCGGAGCUAAUACCGGAUAAUAUAUUGAACCGCAUGGUUCAAUAGUGAAAGACGGUUUUGCUGUCACUUAUAGAUGGAUCCGCGCCGCAUUAGCUAGUUGGUAAGGUAACGGCUUACCAAGGCAACGAUGCGUAGCCGACCUGAGAGGGGGAUAGGCCACACUGGAACGGAGACACGGACCAGACGCCUAAGGGAGGCAGCAGUAGGGAAUCUUCCGCAAUGGGCGAAAGCCUGACGGAGCAACGCCGCGUGAGUGAUGAAGGUCUUCGGAUCGUAAAACUCUGUUAUUAGGGAAGAACAAAUGUGUAAGUAACUAUGCACGUCUUGACGGUACCUAAUCAGAAAGCCACGGCUAACUACGUG
rnacentral:rRNA from 1 species